UCAGUCAUCCUGGUUACCGGCGGCUGGAUGAAAUUUCCUUUCAUCACAACCUUUACUUCCACAAUGAAGUUAUCAUUAAGGAAUACUUCUUUGGCAUCCUGGGGUACAGGGUGUCUCAUUCCACUGCAGUCCAGUGGGAUCAUGAAGGUCAAGCCUCCAGCUGUAGGCAGAACAUUGCCUACCUGAGCUUGUUCAGCUGUUUGGCUGAAUAUGACUGCCUGGGUUUUGGCAGGAUUGCUGAGUCUCACUCUGUCACCCAGGCUGGAGUGAAGUGGCAUGAUCUCGGUUCACUGAAACCUCUGCCUCCCAGGUCCAAGCAAUUCCCCUGCC
rnacentral:lncRNA from 1 species